rnacentral:rRNA from 1 species
GAUGAACGCUGGCGGCGUGCCUAAUACAUGCAAGUCGAGCGAACGGACGAGAAGCUUGCUUCUCUGAUGUUAGCGGCGGACGGGUGAGUAACACGUGGAUAACCUACCUAUAAGACUGGGAUAACUUCGGGAAACCGUAGCUAAUACCGGAUAAUAUUUUGAACCGCAUGGUUCAAAAGUGAAAGACGGUCUUGCUGUCACUUAUAGAUGGAUCCGCGCUGCAUUAGCUAGUUGGUAAAGUAACGGCUUACCAAGGCAACGAUGCAUAGCCGACCUGAGAGGGUGAUCGGCCACACUGGAACUGAGACACGGUCCAGACUCCUACGGGAGGCAGCAGUAGGGAAUCUUCCGCAAUGGGCGAAAGCCUGACGGAGCAACGCCGCGUGAGUGAUGAAGGUCUUCGGAUCGUAAAACUCUGUUAUUAGGGAAGAACAUAUGUGUAAGUAACUGUGCACAUCUUGACGGUACCUAAUCAGAAAGCCACGGCUAACUACGUG